GAUGUCCUUAACAUUAGCUUUUGUGGUUUAUUGGCUUAAAUACCCACUCCAUUUUGUAACCAGAAUGGGCAUUGUAUUAUACACUUCUGUACAUUUCCACUGUAACUUUAUUAAUGAGGAUUGUUUGGUAUAAGCUGACAACUUAAACUCCAUCUUGGUGGCUCAAGCCAUCCA